UACGUAGGGCGCAAGCGUUGUCCGGAAUUAUUGGGCGUAAAGAGCUCGUAGGUGGUUUGUUACGUCUGCUGUGAAAACCUAGGGCUUAACCCUGGGCCUGCAGUGGAUACGGGCAAACUAGAGUGCGGUAGGGGAGACUGGAAUUCCUGGUGUAGCGGUGAAAUGCGCAGAUAUCAGGAGGAACACCGGUGGCGAAGGCGGGUCUCUGGGCCGUAACUGACGCUGAGGAGCGAAAGCGUGGGGAGCGAACAGG
rnacentral:rRNA from 1 species